rnacentral:tRNA from 1 species
GCACAGCUGGCUCAGUUGUAGAGCGUGAGACUCUUGAUCUCCAGGUCGUGAGUUCAAGCCCCACCUUGGGCA